UACGAAGGGUGCAAACGUUGCUCGGAAUUAUUGGGCGUAAAGCGCACGUAGGCGGCUUAGCAAGUCGGAUGUGAAAUCCCUCGGCUCAACCAAGGAAGUGCAUCCGAAACUGCUGAGCUUGAGUACGAAAGAGGAUCGCGGAAUUCCCGGUGUAGAGGUGAAAUUCGUAGAUAUCGGGAGGAACACCAGUGGCGAAGGCGGCGACCUGGGUCGAUACUGACGCUGAGGUGCGAAAGCGUGGGGAGCAAACAGG
rnacentral:rRNA from 1 species